rnacentral:tRNA from 1 species
GGGGUCCUAGUAAAUAAAUUACAUAGCUCUGUCAGCGCUAAAUUAUAGGUUAUAAGCUUAUGAACCCUA